UGCCAGCAGCCGCGGUAACACGGGGGGCGCAAGCGUUAUUCGGAAUUAUUGGGCGUAAAGGGCGCGCAGGCGGUCUUGUCAGUCAGGUGUGAAAGCCCGGGGCUCAACCCCGGACGUGCAUUUGAAACAGCAAGACUUGAGUACGGGAGAGGAGAGAGGAAUUCCUGGUGUAGAGGUGAAAUUCGUAGAUAUUCGGAGGAACACCAGUGGCGAAGGCGGCUUUCUGGACCAAUACUGACGCUGAGAUGCGAAAGCGUAGGGAGCGAACAGGAUUAGAUA
rnacentral:rRNA from 1 species